rnacentral:rRNA from 1 species
UUCUUUGGGGUAUAAUUCAAAGUACAACCUGCUCAAUGAAUACUUCAAUAGCCGCAGUCAACUGUGCUAAGGUAGCAUAAUAACUUGUUCCUUAAUUAGGAAAUUGCAUGAAUGGUUAAACACUUAAAAUUUGUUUCUAUAAAAAUAAUUAAAUUCAAACAAGAGUAAAAAUUCUCUUAAAUAAGAGUGGGACGACAAGACCCUGAUAAACUUAGUAUUUGGUUGGGGAAACCUUUUAAAAAAACUUUAUUCAUUAAAUAAAACACCUUUAAAUAAAUUACAGUUACUACAGGGAUAACAGCGCUAUUUCUUUUUAGAGUUCACAUCAAAAAAGAAGAUUACGACCUCGAUGUUGAAUUAAUAAACCAAUUAAAGCGCACAAGCUUAAUACAGGUAGUCUGUUCGACUAUUAAAAAAUU